rnacentral:rRNA from 1 species
UACAGAGGUGGCAAGCGUUGUUCGGAAUUACUGGGCGUAAAGGGCGCGUAGGCGGCCAUCUAAGUCUGAUGUGAAAGCCCUGGGCUCAACCUGGGAAUGGCAUUGGAUACUGGCGAGCUAGAGUGCGGUAGAGGGUAGUGGAAUUCCCGGUGUAGCAGUGAAAUGCGUAGAGAUCGGGAGGAACAUCUGUGGCGAAGGCGACUACCUGGACCAGCACUGACACUGAGGCACGAAAGCGUGGGGAGCAAACAGG